CGCCCCGCCUCAGAGGACGGAGCAAAGCCCCUCACGCAGGCCUUUUGGGCAAAGAGGUGAUGCGGGAGGAUGGUACCAGUCCUUCCUCCGCGGCCCUGAGCCCCAGCCCGCCUCGGCAACAGCACCAAACACGUGUCCGGGGCCUUAAGCCAGACCCGCCGGAGGCGGCCGCCCUGCCAGGGCCUCGGGCGGCCCUCGUCGGCGCCCAGAGCGGGGCGCCAUCUUGACGCACAGCUGGAAUUCUUGAGGAUGGCCUCUAACCAAAUGAGGGAAUAAACCAAGGGUGGCGAAGCAAAGAGGGGCCCUGCCCCGGAAGGCACUAGGAAGCCAGGCCACGGGUGACGGCAGUGGACCCAGCGUGAGAUGGGGAGGCCUCCAGGGAACAGGACGGACUCAAAAGAGAAGGAGCAGUCGUGGUGCAGGAAACGGUCUUGGAAAGAGCCCUGCAGGGCGUCACCCGACUAAAGGGAGAAGGAGGCUGACCUUUACCGAGCACCCUGCCCGUUCCCACUGGAGGGCUGAAUGGCUCGGUGCCGCCCCAAAUGACAAGCUCCGUGAUGGGCGCUGCAGGCGCACCAUCUUCCAGGUCGUGCUCAGAGGUGAGCGGGGACGCUCAUUACCCCAGCUCGCCUGUGAGGGACCAGCCCGCGUGUCAGGGCGCCGCUGAGCAUGGGUCCAGGCACGCACCUGCCUUUGUCUCUGGUCUCCUCUCGUGCACCGUUACCAUGAAAGGAACUCACACAGCGGCCCUGGGAAUUCACAGCCACCCCCUUGGGGAGCAGCUCCCCGGUGUGUCAGCUCAGCUCCACAAUUACCGCGUCUCCAGGAGAAAUCGUCCCAGCGUCUUGUUUUCUCUCUGCAUGACUUCUGUUCACAGCCCUGUUUUCUGGGGGCUGCAGAGGCUCAUAGAGGCAGAAGGACACAGCAGCCCCUCAGGGAAGAGGGCGAAGGAAGGACGGCAGGCAGACCCACACCCCCAGGGGUCACACCAGCCCCAGCCCCUGUGCUUGACGCGGGCGGGCGCAGUGGAGCCCCGGCCUUCCCGCCUGGCGCUGCGGGCGUCUCACGGGGUGUCUCCAGCUGUGACGUCCGCGGUCCCUGGACGCAUCACGUCUCUGCCACGAGGUCGUGUUCUCCUGGAGCGGUCCAUGUUACCUCUGUCCUCACCUCUGCUCACAGACCACCUAUAAGGCUCUGACGUCUGCAUGCAUUAGGCUUAUAAAGCCGUGACCCAGGGGCCUGUCUCAGGAAGAUGAUGGAAGAAACAGCCCAGCAGCAAAAAGAAAUUUCACUGUGAGUCUGUUUACAGACAGAAAUAGACCCACAAAAAAAAAAAAAAAAAAAAAGAAAAGAAAAAGAAAUAGACCCACAGACAUAGGAAACAAACUUAUGGUUACCAAAGGGGAAGUGGGGGGAAAUUAGGAGUUUGGGAUUAACAUAUACACACUACUAUAUAUAAAAUAGAUAAACAACAAGGACCUACUGCAUAGCACAGGGAACUCUACUCAAUAGUUUGUAAUAACCUAUAUAGGAGAAGAAUCUAAAAAGAAAUAUGUGUGUAUA